UUGGAAAAGGACUAAAGAAAGUGCAGAGAAAAAGACAAGCAUGGCUGAAUAUAUAAUGUGAUAUUCACUCACGCAUCUCUUCCACAAGGUAUCAUGAGUUCUAAGGUCAAUAGAGGUCUACUCCUUGGUCUUCUUCUACUUACUGCCCUAUCUCUUGCAUGGAGCUUGUUUUUCACAGAUGAGAACAUGAAGAAGUUAACUGAAGCAAGAGAUGGAAAAGAAUUGUCUGGAGUAGACUCAUCCAAGCGCAGUUUCGGUCCCUAUAAAGUACCUCAACCACCACCACCACAUUCUCAUGGAAGGCCAGGCCCCAAUCCACUCCCCUAGUGGGCAAAUCACAACGUCAAAAUAGUAUGUGUAAUUGUCAUUUUGGUUCACUUCGAAGAUUACAACCAACUCUAGGGAAUGUGAGGUAUUACCAUGUUUGGUUUGUUAUUUAUGCAACACAAACACAAUAUGGGAAUGUAAGAUUAUAACUAAGUACACAUUUGGUACAUUUUUGAGAUGAAAGACAUUGAAACUUUAUUAAUGAAGAAAAUUAGCCAUGAUUGGCUACAAGAAUAUCUUAAAGAUGA